rnacentral:lncRNA from 1 species
AAACUCCUCCAGCAGACAAACCUCCCCAACGCCAUCCGAAGUCCACUGCCGGCCGACCCUCCGCCAGAUUCUUCAUGAGAUCGGACUUCUCUGACGGAUAAUCUUCAGAUGAGCUUCCACAUCAGGCAACUCUCAGAUGGACUUCUCUAGCAAUCGGACUCCUACCAGACUUCACCAACAGAAGUCUCCAUCCGAGCUUCUAUAGCAGAUGACUCCUGCUUGUAGCAUUAGCGCCCGAGGCAUCCGACAACAGUAGACUCGUCAGCAACCUCAAAAAUAUUCGAGCUUCUCCUAGAUCGAUGGGAUAGAGAGCCAUUCCGCUCCAUCAAACAUUCCAGCCGAGCUCCAGAUAACAGAUCCGAACUCUCUGGCAAGUCACGACAAUGGCCACUACCCUACUCCAUUCUCUGUAAUGGAUUCCACAUGGCUCCACCACUCUCUGGCA